GAUGAACGCUGGCGGCGUGCCUAAUACAUGCAAGUCGAGCGAACGGACGAGAAGCUUGCUUCUCUGAUGUUAGCGGCGGACGGGUGAGUAACACGUGGAUAACCUACCUAUAAGACUGGGAUAACUUCGGGAAACCGGAGCUAAUACCGGAUGAUAUUUUGAACCGCAUGGUUCAAAAGUGAAAGACGGUCUUGCUGUCACUUAUAGAUGGAUCCGCGCUGCAUUAGCUAGUUGGUAAGGUAACGGCUUACCAAGGCAACGAUGCAUAGCCGACCUGAGAGGGGGAUCGGCCACACUGGAACUGGGACACGGUCCAGACUCCUACGGGAGGCAGCAGUAGGGAAUCUUCCGCAAUGGGCGAAAGCCUGACGGAGCAACGCCGCGUGAGGGAUGAAGGUCUUCGGAUCGGAAAACUCUGUUAUUAGGGAAGAACAUAUGUGUAAGUAACUGUGCACAUCUUGACGGUACCUAAUCAGAAAGCCACGGCUAACUACGUG
rnacentral:rRNA from 1 species